rnacentral:snRNA from 1 species
GGGUAUGAGGGUGACCUGGCUGUGACUUCUGCUGUCCUUGAUCACUAGGGUUGAUUCAUCUGAUCUGGGUGACUGGGCCGUGUCCCCUUUCUUGUCACCUCUCCAUUUGCAUCCGUCUGAGAGCUGCACACUGGAUUAGAAAACCUUCCCCAGUAGAGGAAGAGGAAGAGGGGUCAUCUGUCAAGGCCAUGUGACAUCUGUGCUCCCCCGCUAGAACCUCCACACGCGCUCUCAAGACGGGGUUUCUCUGUGUAGUCCUGGCUGUCCUAGAAGUCACUUUAUACACCAGGCUGGGCUUGAACUCACAGAGAUCUGCCUGCUUCU